rnacentral:lncRNA from 1 species
UGAAAACCACACGUACAGAGGACAAACCCCUGGGGGGUAAGGGAGAGGCAGGGAGCCUGCAUUUAGACUUCCUCUCAGCUUGCAAGAUGCAUCACACAUGAAGAGGGCUUGGGGCUACCUGUAUACAGGUCUGGUCUGGGUUUCUAGUAGCACUGAGGAGAAGCUGCAGGUACUUCCAAGAGAGAUGCAUACCACCUGUGAGGCCCCGGACACCCACUCAUUGCUGUGUUGCUACUGGGAACACAAAGGAAGCCACACCAGGGCUGCCGUAGGGCCAG